UACGAAGGGGGCUAGCGUUGCUCGGAAUCACUGGGCGUAAAGGGUGCGUAGGCGGGUCUUUAAGUCAGGGGUGAAAUCCUGGAGCUCAACUCCAGAACUGCCUUCGAUACUGAAGAGCUCGAGUCCGGGAGAGGUGAGUGGAACUGCGAGUGUAGAGGUGAAAUUCGUAGAUAUUCGCAAGAACACCAGUGGCGAAGGCGGCUCACUGGCCCGGUACUGACGCUGAGGUGCGAAAGCGUGGGGAGCGAACAGG
rnacentral:rRNA from 1 species